rnacentral:sRNA from 1 species
AUGAUUGUUAAAUAUCUCAUGCAUAAUUUUCUUUUUUUCAUCUAAAAAUACUUCAUUUAUAUAAAUCAGUGUAUACAAAAUUAUCAACGAGAUUACAGAUAUAACCAAUGGUUUAUGUAACGAAGAAACGAUAAAGUUUAUUACGCUCCGCUUUCUUAGUCAAGUACUUAAUCGUCUUCAUAAUUUCCGUCAAUUUGGUGUGACUUUCUUGCUUGGGAAUCAUCUUCUUUUUACAGAUGAAAUACUGGUAACGCAUACGGAAAUCAUAGGCAGCGAUCCAUCCGUUACAUCACAAAACCUUCGAAUUGAUCGAAACUCUUAUAUAGAAAGAGAUGUCAUUGAUCUUGGUUUUCCUUAAACCCCAUUUUUGUUGAUAUGGUAUAAACCAUCUUCUGAUUCUCCUAUUAGCCUC